GGAUGCGAGGGAUCUGUAGAUAUUUUCACAGCCCUCUUUGACUCGUGCAACAUACAUGUCUUCAAUGGAAGGUGGAUUGGUAGCAAUCGUUUUUCCUGCCGUUCUGAUUAUCCUCUGAAGUCUGUGUCUGUCCUGUUGGGUUGCAGAACCAAACCAGACAGUUAUAAAGGUGCAGAUGACAGACUCAAUAAUUCCUCUGUAGAAUUGAAUAAUGAUCAACUUGUUAUAAGGAGCUGAUGUUCCUGGCGCUGUUCCUUUUUUAAAUGCAUAUUCUGAGUAAAGAAAACUGACGUUCAAAGUGGCCAAAGAAAGACAGAUCUAAAGGCCAGCAAAAAAUACAGUUUCACUGCGCUAUUCCAGCGAUGGAAAAAAGAUGUUUUUCAUCAGAGCAACACGGUUUUAUGAUCACCGGUUUGUGAGAUUAAUGAAUUGGUACUUUAUGUUAACUGGAAUCCCAGUGCUUCUUGUUGUAGCCUAUGCUAAUAUCUUUAUAGGUAAGUACAUCUGCACUUUAGAAUCUUCUGUUCAAGUUUGUACUGCUGAAUAUUGCAGAUAAUUGUAUCCUUAUUGAAUGACUGCUGUUUCAGUGAUAUUGAAUUGAUUCUGUUUUCCUUGUACAAGAGAAGAACCAUCAGCUAAAUGUUUAUGGAGAUACUCAAUUAUCCACAUCAUGGUUGUUACAAAGGUACUUUUCCCAAAUGGCUACCGGACUUUCUUGGGUUUUUUUUUUCCUUUGAAAACAUUUCAUCUCUCGUCCUCUCAAGCUUCUUCAGUUCUAACUGACUGGUGGAGAAUGUAAGGAUUUAUAGUGAAAUAUUUCCAAAGGAAUGGGGGGACGACAACAAGAAAGUCCGGGUGCCUUUUGGAAAAAGCACCUUUGGGAAGAACCAUCCUUCUUCUCCAUUAUGUGCCCUCCAGAUAUUUGGACUUCAAAUCAAUUCCUUUGGAAUUUUAGAAAUUUCAGUCUAAUUAAUUCCCAGCUUGAUGACGGCUGGGCUACAGAAUUUUUUAAAAAGCCCCAAAAGAAGUUUCUUGAUGGUUUUCUGCUUUUUCUUGGCUUAUGAAAUUGAUAAUGGACUAAAUCACGUUGCAUCUUCAUGGCUCUCUUUAUUACAAGGAGAUUUGGCUUAAGAUCUAAAGCUCCUAGCUUUCUGGAUGUAUGUUCAAAGUGCUCUUUUUAUUCAUUUGCUUCUUUUUUAUGCAGUAGCCUAAAGUUGCUUUCUUAAAUUAUGUCCUAUUGUGAUAUAUCCUAAUUGUGAAAUUCCCAUUUCAUUUGGAUAAUGUUGUCAUUCUUCUGUUUCCAGCCCCAAAUUCAGACAUACUGGUCAUCCACAAAUGUAUUAAAUUGGUACUGCUCUUUGGUAUUUCCCUGCACCAUAGCUUUGUGGUUUUACACUUGUUAAAUGGUUUUAUAUUGUGUUGCAAUCAAACUUUUUUUUUAAUUUAUUAGAAAUGCUUUAAAUUGUUCCCCCCUUUGGAAUCAUUUAAAAAAUGGAUUAACAUGAUAACACAAAGAUGAUGAUUGGCAUAUGUAAAAUGUGAAUCAAAACAUCAAAAAAGUAUUGCAUAAUCCCUGCUGCGUAAAAGUACAAUACAUGUUAUAUUUUUUGUUUUAUAUUUAAAUAGCUGUGGAAGCUAUUUAUUCACCACUAGCUGAUAACCUGGUGCUACUUGGGUAUUUAGUUAUCCAACCCUCCUUCCAUUAACGCCGC